UUGCUCUUCAACGAGGAAUUCCUAGUAAGCGUGAGUCAUCAGCUCGCGUUGAUUACGUCCCUGCCCUUUGUACACACCGCCCGUCGCUACUACCGAUUGAAUGGCUUAGUGAGGUCUUGGGAUUGGCUUCGGGGAGCCGGCAACGGCACCCUGUCGCUGAGAACUUGAUCAAACUUGGUCAUUUAGAGGAAGUAAAAGUCGUAACAAGGUUUCCGUAGGUGAACCUGCGGAAGGAUCAUUAUCGAGUUCUGAAGCGGGUUGUAGCUGGCCUUCCGAGGCAUGUGCACGCCCUGCUCAUCCACUCUACACCUGUGCACUUACUGUGGGUUUCAGGAGCUUCGAAGCGAGUGCUUAACCGCUCUCGCCGAGUUGUUACUGGGCCUACGUUUAUCACAAACUCUUAAAGUAUCAGAAUGUGAACGCGUCUAACGCAUCUAUAUACAACUUUCAGCAACGGAUCUCUUGGCUCUCGCAUCGAUGAAGAACGCAGCGAAAUGCGAUAAGUAAUGUGAAUUGCAGAAUUCAGUGAAUCAUCGAAUCUUUGAACGCACCUUGCGCUCCUUGGUAUUCCGAGGAGGCAUGCCUGUUUGAGUGUCAUGAAAUUCUCAACCUAACAAGUUCUUAACGGGACUUGCUUAGGCUUGGACUUGGAGGCUUGUCGGCUGCUUAGCAGUCGGCUCCUCUCAAAUGCAUUAGCUUGGUUCCUUGCGGAUCGGCUCACGGUGUGAUAAUUAUCUGCGCCGCGACCGUUGAAGCGUUUAAUGGCCAGCUUCUAAUCGUCUCUUGCGAGACAGCUUUCAUCGAACUCUGACCUCAAAUCAGGUAGGACUACCCGCUGAACUUAAGCAUAUCAAUAAGCGGAGGA
rnacentral:rRNA from 1 species